AUUUCGGUAUGUAAAGCUCUAUCAGCAGGGAAGAUAAUGACGGUACCUGACUAAGAAGCCCCGGCUAACUACGUGCCAGCAGCCGCGGUAAUACGUAGGGGGCAAGCGUUAUCCGGAUUUACUGGGUGUAAAGGGAGCGUAGACGGCAAGGCAAGUCUGAAGUGAAAGCCCGGUGCUUAACGCCGGGACUGCUUUGGAAACUGUUUAGCUGGAGUGCCGGAGAGGUAAGCGGAAUUCCUAGUGUAGCGGUGAAAUGCGUAGAUAUUAGGAAGAACACCAGUGGCGAAGGCGGCUUACUGGACAGUAACUGACGUUGAGGCUCGAAAGCGUGGGGAGCAAACAGGAUUAGAUACCCUGGUAGUCCACGCCGUAAACGAUGAUUACUAGGUGUGGGGGGACUGACCCCUUCCGUGCCGGAGUUAACACAAUAAGUAAUCCACCUGGGGAGUACGACCGCAAGGUUGAAACUCAAAGGAAUUGACGGGGGCCCGCACAAGCAGUGGAGUAUGUGGUUUAAUUCGAAGCAACGCGAAGAACCUUACCAGGUCUUGACAUCCGAUGCAUAGCACAGAGAUGUGUGAAAUCCUUCGGGACAUCGAGACAGGUGGUGCAUGGUUGUCGUCAGCUCGUGUCGUGAGAUGUUGGGUUAAGUCCCGCAACGAGCGCAACCCUCGCCCUGUGUUGCCAGCACGUCGUGGUGGGAACUCACGGGGGACCGCCGGGGUCAACUCGGAGGAAGGUGGGGAUGACGUCAGAUCAUCAUGCCCCUUACGUCCAGGGCUUCACGCAUGCUACAAUGGCCGGUACAACGGGAUGCGACCUCGUGAGGGGGAGCGGAUCCCUUAAAACCGGUCUCAGUUCGGAUUGGAGUCUGCAACCCGACUCCAUGAAGGCGGAGUCGCUAGUAAUCGCGGAUCAGCAACGCCGCGGUGAAUGCGUUCCCGGGCCUUGUACACACCGCCCGUCAAGUCAUGAAAGUGGGUAGCACCCGAAGCCGGUGGCCCAACCUUUUGGGGGGAGCCGUCUAAGGUGAGACUCGUGAUUGGGACUAAGUCGUAACAAGGUAGCCGUACCGGAAGGUGCGGCUG
rnacentral:rRNA from 1 species